rnacentral:rRNA from 1 species
UUAAGCAUAUCAAUAAGCGGAGGAAAAGAAACCAACAGGGAUUGCCCUAGUAACGGCGAGUGAAGCGGCAACAGCUCAAAUUUGAAAUCUGGCGCAAGCCCGAGUUGUAAUUUGUAGAGGAUGCUUCUGGGUAGCGACCGAUCUAAGUUCCUUGGAACAGGACGUCAUAGAGGGUGAGAAUCCCGUAUGUGACCGGCCCGCACCCUUUACGUAGCUCCUUCGACGAGUCGAGUUGUUUGGGAAUGCAGCUCUAAAUGGGAGGUAAAUUUCUUCUAAAGCUAAAUACCGGCCAGAGACCGAUAGCGCACAAGUAGAGUGAUCGAAAGAUGAAAAGUACUUUGGAAAGAGAGUUAAAAAGCACGUGAAAUUGUUGAAAGGGAAGCGCCUGCAACCAGACUUCGCGGCAGUGUUCCGCCGGUCUUCUGACCGGUUCAUUCUCUGUCGCGAGGCCAUCAUCGUCUGGGCCCGCCGGAUAAGACCUGAGGAAUGUGGCUCCCCCUCGGGGGAGUGUUAUAGCCUCUGGUGAUGCGGCGUGGCUCGGGCGAGGUCCGCGCUUCGGCAAGGAUGAUGGCGUAAUGGUUGUCGGCGGCCCGUCUUGAAACACGGACCAAGGAGUCUAACAUCUAUGCGAGUGUUCGGGUGUCAAACCCCUACGCGUAAUGAAAGUGAACGGAGGUGGGAACCGCAAGGUGCACCAUCGACCGAUCCUGAUGUCCUCGGAUGGAUUUGAGUAAGAGCAUAGCUGUUGGGACCCGAAAGAUGGUGAACUAUGCCUGAAUAGGGUGAAGCCAGAGGAAACUCUGGUGGAGGCUCGCAGCGGUUCUGACGUGCAAAUCGAUCGUCAAAUUUGGGUAUAGGGGCGAAAGACUAAUC